rnacentral:rRNA from 1 species
CGGGUGAGUAACACGUAUCCAACCUGCCGAUGACUCGGGGAUAGCCUUUCGAAAGAAAGAUUAAUACCCGAUGGCAUAGUUCUUCCGCAUGGUAGAACUAUUAAAGAAUUUCGGUCAUCGAUGGGGAUGCGUUCCAUUAGGUUGUUGGCGGGGUAACGGCCCACCAAGCCUUCGAUGGAUAGGGGUUCUGAGAGGAAGGUCCCCCACAUUGGAACUGAGACACGGUCCAAACUCCUACGGGAGGCAGCAGUGAGGAAUAUUGGUCAAUGGACGAGAGUCUGAACCAGCCAAGUAGCGUGAAGGAUGACUGCCCUAUGGGUUGUAAACUUCUUUUAUACGGGAAUAAAGUGAGGCACGCGUGCCUUUUUGUAUGUACCGUAUGAAUAAGGAUCGGCUAACUCCGUGCCAGCAGCCGCGGUAAUACGGAGGAUCCGAGCGUUAUCCGGAUUUAUUGGGUUUAAAGGGAGCGUAGGCGGACGCUUAAGUCAGUUGUGAAAGUUUGCGGCUCAACCGUAAAAUUGCAGUUGAUACUGGGUGUCUUGAGUACAGUAGAGGCAGGCGGAAUUCGUGGUGUAGCGGUGAAAUGCUUAGAUAUCACGAAGAACUCCGAUUGCGAAGGCAGCCUGCUGGACUGUAACUGACGCUGAUGCUCGAAAGUGUGGGUAUCAAACAGGAUUAGAUACCCUGGUAGUCCACACAGUAAACGAUGAAUACUCGCUGUUUGCGAUAUACAGUAAGCGGCCAAGCGAAAGCGUUAAGUAUUCCACCUGGGGAGUA